CUGGCCCUCCGGCUAUUUUAAUGACAUCCAGCCAAGCAUUUUAAGAUUUCCACACAGUGGCAGCAAUUAGCAGUGACUCCAAAUUGAUAAUGGAUGGUUUCAAACAUGCACUCCCUAAUAAUAAAUAAUAACAUUUUGCCUUCUUGUGUGCUUUACAUUUCUCUCCUCAUGCCCAACGUUCCCUUUGUGCAUGUGAUAAUUUAUUGCAUAUUUCAAAACAUUCAAAUUUCAUCUCUCUUGAAAUCAGUCCCAGAGCAAUAAUAAAAAAAAAAAGGUUCCAUUUUUAUGCGUAAAAUACAUGCAGCAAUGAAAGGCAUGUUAUGAAUCCAGGAGGUUGGAAACCAGGAGAUAAUGAGAUCUUGGGUAGAAACAACAAGAGCUAAAGGGGAUCCGUGCAUCUAGGAGUAAUGAAAUUAAUCGUAUUGCACAGAAACUUGGAGAAAAUUGCCACAAACAGAUCCAAGAGACAUUGACUUUAAGCAGAGAGGUCUCAAACUUUGUUGCAGCAAGAUGCUUUAAGAGGGGGAAAUGCACUUUUUCCUAAGCCAAUUGUAAAUAAAGGAAGACAAGAAAAAGCAACAACGAUUUCUUUUGGCAGAUGGGAAUCUAUUACCAGGAAUAGAGCCAGACCAAUAAAGCUCCAAAAUGAUGGGCCAAAACAAAAUGAUCAGCCAGGACCAGAAGGAUGGUCGCCAAAAUGCCCGGAGUAACAACUGAAUGGGUAAAUUUAAUCCUCGGCAUCUCCCGAAGAGGCCAAAUAGAUACAAAAUAGAGAUCCUCACCCGUCAAAAGUAGAAAAUAACUAAUUUCAGAGAAGAGUAGAAGGGUGUAAUGUUUUAGACAUAGGCAUUAGAAGGACAGGAUUAGAAAUUUAUAUAUUUCUGAGUCUGGACUCAGCUACCUUAGUCAAAAAACAACAUUUAAAUAUGCAACACCAGAUGCCGCUGUAGAGCAAAAAACAUUUUAUGUGAUUUUACAUAGAGUUUUUUCUUUUGUUAUAACGAUUUAAUUAAUGACUUAUUUAUAGUGUCGUCGUCCCCCCCCCCCCCCGUGUAUAGAUCCAGCCUCUGUCUCUUUAUGUGUGUCUCAUUUUCCUCUCUCUCUCUCUCUCUCUCUCUCAUAUAUCCUGUCUCUUUGAGAACAUGUGUGCAAGGCAAGAACAUGGUAUCUAGCAGAGCAGUCUAUCAUGGGAAAGGGGAUCUAUAAUGGGGCCAUUUUGUCCUUAAUUCAAUAAAGAAUUUAAGACUAAGCACUCUCAGAAUCCUCUUUCUAGGUGUGACGCACCUCCUGGCUUGAAGUGGUAUCUCUUUAUAUAUUUUUUAAAACCUCAACAGAAGACUGAGCUUCUAAUACUGUACAUCGUAACUCACCGGUGGGAUAGGAAAUAAAACAAAAGCCUAUAGGAAAUAAGUUGUGGAUUUGUAUAGCUAAGCAGCAUUCAGCUGGUUUAUAUUGUAAAUUUCCAAUGUUGUUUUAUCUCCUUGCUAUGUUCAUACACAGAUAUUACUUUUUUAUGUCCCCC